GGCCUUAUAUUCAAAAAUGAUAUUAAAUUGCAAAUUUAAUGGUAGACUUAGUCUUAAGGCUU
rnacentral:tRNA from 1 species